CAAUAGCGUAUAUUUAAGUUGUUGCAGUUAAAAAGCUCGUAGUUGGAUUUCGGAUUAUUGUGGCCGGUCCGCCGAUUCGGUGUGCACUGGCUGUGAUAGUCUUGUUUGUCGGUGAGGCGCUCUGGCACUUUAUUGGGUCGGACGUCGAGUCGGCGAGGUUACUUUGAAAAAAUUAGAGUGUUCAAAGCAGACGAUCGCUUGAAUAUAUUAGCAUGGAAUAGCACUAUAGGACUCGGGUUCUAUUUUGCUGGUUUCUAGAACCGGAGUAAUGAUUAAGAGGAACAGUUGGGGGCAUUCGUAUUUCAUUGUCAGAGGUGAAAUUCUUGGAUUUAUGAAAGACGAACUUCUGCGAAAGCAUUUGCCAAGGAUGUUUUCAUUAA
rnacentral:rRNA from 1 species